GUUGUGUCAUGGCGCUCACCAGUCCUGUGCACAAGGUGCAGGAGGUGUCAGAUAUUUUACUUUUUUGGCUUUUCUGCAAACAUUAUCAAUGGUGACAUUCGAAUUGGUUCGUUGAAAGAUCGAUAAGCGCAUCAGGAAUGGAAUAAAUGUCAUAACUAUACUCUAGUAGACGAAACUUCCUUGCUUUUACCCAGCGGCCCAUGCAGGCUGAACGUUACAUCGAACCUGCGUUGAGCGUGGUUUAGACAUUCUUGUUGUGCUCACUGGGAUGCAUGUUCUCGUGCUCUUCUGCGACACGCCGGUCAUCCCAGCAUCUGACACGAGGUGCCGUUUCGGUGGUUGCCUGAUGAAAGUCUGCUACUGACAUUUAAAGGUUUGCCCUACGUGACUAUCCUUGCUGUGGACUCAAGCACCACCAACCAGCCUGAACCCAGCACCAUGGCUCUACUUCACUGGCACAUCAGAAAGCUCGCCUCCUCUGUGCCUCCGCUCAGCCUUUCCAUAUGUGACAACUGGUUGGCUUCUGUCCAAAACGAGCUCGGAGGCCAUGCAGGCACCUGGUACAGGAGAGCCGGCAGAUUUUGACAUCUCUGCCCUGCUCUGACAUCUCUGCACCUGAUCAGCAGCUGCUUCACAAGGUGCACAGGUGUGGUCACGAGUUGGGCUGCUGUUACUUAGCCGUCGUCCGUUCCGAACAUGGUGUCAGAAGCUGGCUAACACCGUCACUAUGGCGGAAGGUGACCUCCGUAUCCAAGUGGUUUGCGUCGGAGCGUAGGGACUUCAUCCUUUAGCACCAUUCACUUUCACCAGCCCGGCGGAAUGGCCCACUUGGAUUGCAACGAGGACAGUCAGAACGACUUCAGCCAUCACUGCCAAGCCAUCAGAACUUCAAGACAAGAGAUGCCGCAAACACGUCACAACAGGCAAACAACCACAAUCGCCCCAAGUCCUCUGACCCGCUUGAAGUUGGGGGAGGACGUGCGAGUUAAGGACGUCAAUUGCCGAGGCAGUAUCCUCGGCCCCGCUCAGUGACCACAGUCAUAUGUGGUGGAAACGCCCAGGGAAACUCUGCAGUGAAACCGUCGGCAUCUAAUCCCCUUCUCAAAAGGCCUGUCAACAGAGGAACUGCCAGCCAGUGAACAAAAUCCAGGACCAGGUUUACAGCAGUCUACGCCUGGUGAGGGUCAACCAGCAUCAUCGCCAGAGCUUCAGCAAGAAGGGCUUCGGCUGAGACGCACACUUUGCGGUCGUGUGAUUGGACCGCCAAGGCGACUGACUUGUAGAUCUUAAGGGGAGAUGUAGUGGGCACUACUAAGGUGAUGGUGUUUAUCUUAUUGCUCGCCAGAGGACACCAUCAUUUAUAGAGCGCUUAUAUAAGGAGCGGCGCGUGGAAAUAAAAAGGGCUUUCUUUUUUUUGGUUGUGGUCACGA